rnacentral:rRNA from 1 species
GAUGAACGCUGGCGGCGUGCCUAAUACAUGCAAGUCGAGCGAACGGACGAGAAGCUUGCUUCUCUGAUGUUAGCGGCGGACGGGUGAGUAACACGUGGAUAACCUACCUAUAAGACUGGGAUAACUUCGGGAAACCGGAGCUAAUACCGGAUAAUAUUUUGAACCGCAUGGUUCAAAAGUGAAAGACGGUCUUGCUGUCACUUAUAGAUGGAUCCGCGCUGCAGUAGCUAGUUGGUAAGGUAACGGCUUACCAAGGCAACGAUGCAUAGCAGACCUGAGAGGGUGAUCAGUCACACUGGAACUGAGACACGGUCCAGACUCCUACGGGAGGCAGCAGUGGGGAAUCUUCCACAAUGGGCGGAAGCCUGACGCAGCCAUGCCGCGUGAGUGAAGAAGGUCUUCGGAUCGUAAAACUCUUUUAUUUGGGAAGAACAUCUGUGUGAGUAUAUCUUCCCGUCUUGACGUUACCAACUCAGAAAGCCACGGCUAACUUCGUG